CCCGCUGAACUUAAGCAUAUCAAUAAGCGGAGGAAAAGAAACUAACAAGGAUUCCCCUAGUAACUGCGAGUGAAGCGGGAAAAGCUCAAAUUUAAAAUCUGGCGGUCUCGCGGCCGUCCGAGUUGUAAUCUGGAGAAGCGUUUAUCCGCGUCGGACCGUGUACAAGUCUUCUGGAAGGGAGCGUCAUAGAGGGUGAGAAUCCCGUCUUUGACACGGACAACCGAUGCUUUUGUGAUGCGCUCUCGAAGAGUCGAGUUGUUUGGGAAUGCAGCUCAAAAUGGGUGGUAAAUUCCAUCUAAAGCUAAAUAUUGGCGAGAGACCGAUAGCGAACAAGUACCGUGAGGGAAAGAUGAAAAGAACUUUGGAAAGAGAGUUAAACAGUACGUGAAAUUGCUGAAAGGGAAACGCUUGAAGUCAGUCACGUUGGCCAGGGAUCAACCUUGCUUUUGCUUGGUGUACUUUCUGGUUGAUGGGUCAGCAUCAAUUUUGACCAUUGGAAAAAGGUCAAGGGAAUGUGGCAUCUUCGGAUGUGUUAUAGCCCUUGGUUGCAUACAAUGGUUGGGAUUGAGGAACUCAGCACGCCGCAAGGCCGGGUUUUUAACCACGUACGUGCUUAGGAUGCUGGCAAAAUGGCUUUAAUCGACCCGUCUUGAAACACGG
rnacentral:rRNA from 1 species